rnacentral:rRNA from 1 species
AUUGAACGCUGGCGGCAUGCUUUACACAUGCAAGUCGAACGGCAGCGGGGAGGAGCUUGCUUCUCUGCCGGCGAGUGGCGAACGGGUGAGUAAUACAUCUGAACGUGUCGAGAAGAGGGGGAUAACCACCCGAAAGGGUGGCUAAUACCGCAUAAAUUCUGAGGAAGAAGCUGGGGACCUAGGAAUAGGCCUAGCGCUGUUUGAGCGGCCGAUGUCGGAUUAGCGAGUUGGUGAGGUAAAGGCCCACCAAGGCGAAGAUCUGUAGCGGGUCUGAGAGGAUGAUCCGCCACACUGGGACUGAGACACGGCCCAGACUCCUACGGGAGGCAGCAGUGGGGAAUUUUGGACAAUGGGGGCAAGCCUGAUCCAGCCAUGCCGCGUGUAUGAAGAAGGCCUUAGGGUUGUAAAGUACUUUUGUUAGGGAAGAAAAGUCAGCUGUGAAUAAUGGCUGAUACUGACGGUACCUAAAGAAUAAGCACCGGCUAACUACGUG